rnacentral:rRNA from 1 species
UUCAAAAGUGAAAGACGGUCUUGCUGUCACUUAUAGAUGGAUCCGCGCUGCAUUAGCUAGUUGGUAAGGUAACGGCUUACCAAGGCAACGAUGCAUAGCCGACCUGAGAGGGUGAUCGGCCACACUGGAACUGAGACACGGUCCAGACUCCUACGGGAGGCAGCAGUAGGGAAUCUUCCGCAAUGGGCGAAAGCCUGACGGAGCAACGCCGCGUGAGUGAUGAAGGUCUUCGGAUCGUAAAACUCUGUUAUUAGGGAAGAACAUAUGUGUAAGUAACUGUGCACAUCUUGACGGUACCUAAUCAGAAAGCCACGGCUAACUACGUGCCAGCAGCCGCGGUAAUACGUAGGUGGCAAGCGUUAUCCGGAAUUAUUGGGCGUAAAGCGCGCGUAGGCGGUUUUUUAAGUCUGAUGUGAAAGCCCACGGCUCAACCGUGGAGGGUCAUUGGAAACUGGAAAACUUGAGUGCAGAAGAGGAAAGUGGAAUUCCAUGUGUAGCGGUGAAAUGCGCAGAGAUAUGGAGGAACACCAGUGGCGAAGGCGACUUUCUGGUCUGUAACUGACGCUGAUGUGCGAAAGCGUGGGGAUCAAACAGGAUUAGAUACCCUGGUAGUCCACGCCGUAAACGAUGAGUGCUAAGUGUUAGGGGGUUUCCGCCCCUUAGUGCUGCAGCUAACGCAUUAAGCACUCCGCCUGGGGAGUACGACCGCAAGGUUGAAACUCAAAGGAAUUGACGGGGACCCGCACAAGCGGUGGAGCAUGUGGUUUAAUUCGAAGCAACGCGAAGAACCUUACCAAAUCUUGACAUCCUUUGACAACUCUAGAGAUAGAGCUUUCCCCUUCGGGGGACAAAGUGACAGGUGGUGCAUGGUUGUCGUCAGCUCGUGUCGUGAGAUGUUGGGUUAAGUCCCGCAACGAGCGCAACCCUUAAGCUUAGUUGCCAUCAUUAAGUUGGGCACUCUAAGUUGACUGCCGGUGACAAACCGGAGGAAGGUGGGGAUGACGUCAAAUCAUCAUGCCCCUUAUGAUUUGGGCUACACACGUGCUACAAUGGACAAUACAAAGGGCAGCGAAACCGCGAGGUCAAGCAAAUCCCAUAAAGUUGUUCUCAGUUCGGAUUGUAGUCUGCAACUCGACUACAUGAAGCUGGAAUCGCUAGUAAUCGUAGAUCAGCAUGCUACGGUGAAUACGUUCCCGGGUCUUGUACACACCGCCCGUCACACCACGAGAGUUUGUAACACCCGAAGCCGGUGGAGUAACCUUUUAGGAGCUAGCCGUCGAAG